UACGUAGGGGGCAAGCGUUGUCCGGAUUCAUUGGGCGUAAAGAGCGUGUAGGCGGCCAGGUAGGUCUGGUGUGAAAACUCGAGGCUUAACCUCGAGAUGUCAUCGGAAACCAUCUGGCUAGAGUCCGGAAGAGGAGAGUGGAAUUCCUGGUGUAGCGGUGAAAUGCGCAGAUAUCAGGAGGAACACCAAUAGCGAAGGCAGCUCGC
rnacentral:rRNA from 1 species